rnacentral:rRNA from 1 species
UACGGAGGGGGCUAGCGUUGUUCGGAAUUACUGGGCGUAAAGCGCACGUAGGCGGCUUUGUAAGUUAGAGGUGAAAGCCCGGAGCUCAACUUCGGAAUUGCCUUUAAGACUGCAUCGCUUGAACGUCGGAGAGGUGAGUGGAAUUCCGAGUGUAGAGGUGAAAUUCGUAGAUAUUCGGAAGAACACCAGUGGCGAAGGCGGCGUGCUGGACCCUUUCUGACGCUGAGGCGCGAAAGCCAGGGGAGCAAACGGG